UCAAAGCAGGGAUUAUUUGUUUUGCAUCACCCAAUAAACAAGCUACUAUAUGGAAGAAAAUAUUAAUUGAAGUGAACAUCGAACCUCAGGAAGAACCCCAAUUGUCUUAUUUUCGGUUGGGGUCUGUUCUUUCUGCAAUUUUAUUGGAGAAGUUGGUGUUUCUUCAGUCAUUUCGGAAAGUUUCGAUUGGAUCUGUUUUUUCUGCAAUUUUAUUGGAGGCGUUGGUGUUUCUUCAGUCAUUUCAGAAAGAUUCGAUGGGAUCUGUUCUUUCUGCAAUUCUACGGACAUUGGUGUUUUUUCAGUCAUUUCAGAAGGUUUCAAUGGUAUCUGUUCUUUCUGCAAUUCUAUGGUUGGCGUCGGUGUUUCUUCAGUCAUUUCAGAAAGUUUCAGUGGGAUCUGUUCUUUCUGCAAUUCAAUGGGAGGCGCCGGUGUUUCUUCAAUCAUUUUAGAAGGUUUCGAUGGGAUCUGUUCUUUCUGCAAUUCUUUGGUUGACGUCGGUUUUUCUUCAGUCAUUUCAGAAGAUUUCGAUGGGAUCUGUUCUUUCUGCAAUUCUAUAAGAGGCGUCGAUGCUUCUUCAGUCAUUUCAGAAAGUUUGGAUGGGAUCGGUUCAACCUUUUCU
rnacentral:lncRNA from 1 species